UACGUAGGUGGCAAGCGUUGUCCGGAAUUAUUGGGCGUAAAGGGCGCGCAGGCGGCCGCAUUUGUCAGGCGUGAAAGCCCCGGGCUUAACCUGGGAACUGCGUUUGAUACGGUGUGGCUAGAGUUCGGGAGAGGAGAGUGGAAUUCCCAGUGUAGAGGUGAAAUUCGUAGAUAUUGGGAAGAACACCGGUGGCGAAGGCGGCUCUCUGGACCGAGACUGACGCUGAGGCGCGAAAGCGUGGGGAGCAAACAGG
rnacentral:rRNA from 1 species